CCUUCGUGGCGCUGACCUUGAUGACGGCGGCGCGCAGGUUCUCAUCCUCUUCCACAGUCCUGAUGUUACCUCGCACCACUGUGGAGAAACAAAACACGAUAUAAGUUGUCACCAUGAGAACAGCUAAACCCAGAAUCUCAAGUCAUCGCCGUCAUGAUCAUGCACUAACAUUGCAUGGAGGCAACUGGAACCUUCUUGAAUUUUUAUGAGCUGCCCUGGUGGAAACCCUAAAAUUAGUGAUAAGUGCCACAGCGUUGGUGAUAGGCGGUCCGGUGAACCCCCCCCGCCUUGAUGCCGAGGUAUUUAGAAGCAAAUGAAAUAUUCUUUUGUCCACCUCCAUCCAUUUCGCCGACUUAGUGACUUUUGGGUGUGCGUGAUCAAAGUCAAGGCCCG